rnacentral:rRNA from 1 species
UCAAGUGAAUAAGCGCAUACGGUGGAUGCCUAGGCGGUAGUAGGCGAUGAAGGACGUGGUAAUCUGCGAUAAGCCCCGGCGAGCUGAUAAACGAGCUUUGACCCGAGGAUUUCCGAAUGGGAAAACCCACCCUGUUUACAGGGUAUCAUGCACUGAAUACAUAGGUGUAUGAGGCGAACCCGGGGAACUGAAACAUCUAAGUACCCGGAGGAAAAGAAAUCAACCGAGAUUCCCUUAGUAGCGGCGAGCGAACGGGGACCAGCCCUAAACUCUUUAUUGAUCUAGUAGAACAGUCUGGAAAGUCUGACCAUAGUGGGUGAUAGUCCCGUACACGAAAGAUCCUUAUAGAUUAUACGAGUAGGACGGCGCACGUGAAACGCUGUUUGAAUAUGGGGGGACCAUCCUCCAAGGCUAAAUACUAACUACCGACCGAUAGUGAACCAGUACCGUGAGGGAAAGGCGAAAAGAACCCCUGUAAGGGGAGUGAAAUAGAACCUGAAACCGUAUGCGUACAAGCAGUGGGAGCAGACUUGUUCUGUGACUGCGUACCUUUUGUAUAAUGGGUCAGCGACUUACUUCUCAGUGGCAAGCUUAACCGUUUAGGGGAGGCGUAGCGAAAGCGAGUCUUAAUAGGGCGUCUUAGUCGCUGGGAGUAGACCCGAAACCGGGCGAUCUAUCCAUGGCCAGGUUGAAGGUGCAGUAACAUGCACUGGAGGACCGAACCGACUUAUGUUGAAAAAUGAGCGGAUGAGCUGUGGAUCGGAGUGAAAGGCUAAUCAAGCCCGGAGAUAGCUGGUUCUCCUCGAAAGCUAUUUAGGUAGCGCCUCGCGUAUCACUGCCGGGGGUAGAGCACUGUUAUGGCUAGGGGGCCAUCCCGGCUUACCAACCCAUUGCAAACUCCGAAUACCGGCAAGUGCAAUCGCGGGAGACACACUACGGGUGCUAACGUCCGUGGUGGAAAGGGAAACAACCCAGACCGCCAGCUAAGGUCCCAAAAUUACAGCUCAGUGGGAAACGAUGUGGGAAGGCAUAGACAGCUAGGAGGUUGGCUUAGAAGCAGCCAUCCUUUAAAGAAAGCGUAAUAGCUCACUAGUCAAGUCGGCCUGCGCGGAAGAUUUAACGGGGCUAAGCUGUAUACCGAAGCUGCGGAUGCUUAUAUUUAUAUAGGCAUGGUAGAGGAGCGUUCUGUAAGCCUGCGAAGGUGUUCUGUAAGGAAUGCUGGAGGUAUCAGAAGUGCGAAUGCUGACAUGAGUAACGAUAAGGGGAGUGAAAAACUCCCCCGCCGAAAACCCAAGGUUUCCUGCGCAACGCUAAUCGGCGCAGGGUUAGUCGGUACCUAAGGCGAGGCCGAAAGGCGUAGUCGAUGGAAAACAGGUUAAUAUUCCUGUACCGCGCAUGACUGCGAUGGGGUGACGGAGAAGGCUAGACAAGCAGGGCGACGGUUGUCCCUGUUUAAGCGUGUAGGCUGAGAUCUUUGGAAAAUCCGGGAUCUCUUAAGGCUGAGACGUGAUGACGAGCACCAUUAGGAGCGAAGUUGUCGAUGCCAUGCUUCCAGGAAAAACCUCUAAGCUUCAGGUCAUGAGUGGCCGUACUCCAAACCAACACAGGUGGGUGGGAUGAGAAUUCUAAGGCGCUUGAGAGAACUCGGCUGAAGGAACUAGGCAAAAUGGAUCCGUAACUUCGGGAGAAGGAUCGCCCUUGCUGGUUAUUAGAUUUACUCUAAGAAGCUAGUGAGGGUUGCAAUAAAUUGGUGGCUGCGACUGUUUACUAAAAACACAGCACUCUGCAAACUCGUAAGAGGACGUAUAGGGUGUGACGCCUGCCCGGUGCCGGAAGGUUAAUUGAUGGGGUUAUCUUCGGAGAAGCUCUUGAUCGAAGCCCCGGUAAACGGCGGCCGUAACUAUAACGGUCCUAAGGUAGCGAAAUUCCUUGUCGG